rnacentral:rRNA from 1 species
AGUGAACGCUGGCGGUAGGCCUAACACAUGCAAGUCGAACGGCAGCACAGUAAGAGCUUGCUCUUACGGGUGGCGAGUGGCGGACGGGUGAGGAAUACAUCGGAAUCUACUUUUUCGUGGGGGAUAACGUAGGGAAACUUACGCUAAUACCGCAUACGACCUACGGGUGAAAGCAGGGGAUCUUCGGACCUUGCGCGAUUGAAUGAGCCGAUGUCGCAUUAGCUAGUUGGCGGGGUAAAGGCCCACCAAGGCGACGAUCCGUAGCAGGUCUGAGAGGAUGAUCAGCCACACUGGAACUGGGACACGGUCCAGACUCCUACGGGAGGCAGCAGUGGGGAAUAGUAGGCAAUGGGCGCGAGCCUGAUCCAGCCAUACCGCGUGGGUGAAAAAGACCUUCGGGUUGUAAAGCCCUUUUGUUGGUAGAGAAAAGCAGCAGGUUAAUACCCCGCUGUUCUGACGGUACCCAAAGAAUAAGCACCGGCUAACUUCGUG